rnacentral:lncRNA from 1 species
AGAUACAUAGGUAUGAAGCAAAAUCUGCACAAAUGGUGUUACUACAUUGUAUUGUAUUGUAUAAUCUUUUUCUUCAUGGAAAUAUGUACAGGUUAAAUAAUCAGGAAGAAUCAGCAGCCAAAAAAUAUUUCGUCUCGGUUAAUGAACAUGUGAGUACUCACAUAGACUGAUGAGAAGAAGAGGUCAUGGAGUUGUCGUCGUCAUGCCCCUUGGAUUCUAAAAGCAUCACUACAACUUCACGCAUAGACGGUCGAUCGAGUGGGGACAAGUUAGUGCAUAGUAAAGCAAUUUUCAAGACAGUUAGCAUGUGAUCGACGAUGCUUUUA